rfam:Xenopus laevis strain J chromosome 1S, whole genome shotgun sequence.
GGCCGCCUGACACUCUUUCCCUGUUGCACUACUGUGCCAGUGAAUAAAGCAGUGCAAUGAUGAAAGGGCAUCAGUCUGGAG